AACAAACGCUGGCGGCGUGCCUAAUACAUGCAAGUCGAACGGGGAAAGCUUUCGGGUGAGUACUAGUGGCGCACGGGUGAGGAACGCGUGGAUAAUCUGCCUUAGAGUGGGGGAUAACUAGUCGAAAGAUUAGCUAAUACCGCAUAAGACCACAGGAGCUGCGGCUCAAGGGGUCAAAGGUUUUUCGCUCUAAGAUGAGUCCGCGUAAGAUUAGCUAGUUGGUGAGGUAACGGCUCACCAAGGCGACGAUCUUUAACUGGUCUGAGAGGAUGAUCAGUCACACUGGAACUGAGACACGGUCCAGACUCCUACGGGAGGCAGCAGUAGGGAAUAUUGCACAAUGGAGGAAACUCUGAUGCAGCGACGCCGCGUGAGUGAUGAAGGCCUUCGGGUCGUAAAGCUCUGUCGCAGGGGAAUAACACAAUGAAUGUACCCUGUAAGAAAGGAUCGGCUAACUUCGUGCCAGCCGCCGCGGUAA
rnacentral:rRNA from 1 species